rnacentral:rRNA from 1 species
AUUGAACGCUGGCGGCAGGCCUAACACAUGCAAGUCGAACGAGUGGCGGACGGGUGAGUAAUGUUUGGGAACCCGCACGUCGGAUGGGGAUAACCACUGGAAACGGUUGCUAAACCCGUACACCAUCGGAUUUGCCAAGAUGGGAUUAGCUAGUAGGUGGGGUAACGGCUCACCUAGGCGACGAUCCCUAGCUGGUCUGAGAGGGUGAUCAGCCACACGGGAACUGAGACACGGUCCAGACUCCUACGGGAGGCAGCAGUGGGGAAUAUGGCACAAUGGGCGCAAGCCUGAUACAGCCAUGCCGCGUGUAUGAAGAAGGCCUUCGGGUUGUAAAGUACUUUCAGCGAGGAGGCGUUACUCGCAGAAGAAGCACCGGCUAACUCCGUGCCAGCAGCCGCGGUAAUAC